UACAGGGGGUGCAAACGUUGCUCGGAAUUAUUGGGCGUAAAGCGCGCGUAGGCGGCUAUUUAAGUCGGAUGUGAAAGCCCUUGGCUCAACUGAGGAAGUGCACCCGAAACUGAAUGGCUUGAGUACCAAAGAGGGUCGCGGAAUUCCCGGUGUAGAGGUGAAAUUCGUAGAUAUCUGGAGGAACACCGGUGGCGAAGGCGGCAUCCUGGACCAAUAUUGACGCUGAGGAGCGAAAGCCAGGGGAGCAAACGGG
rnacentral:rRNA from 1 species